GCAUGGGGUGAGUUUGGGGCUUGGACAUAGUUAGUAUUAAUGUAGUAUUUUUGUUAGUUUAGAUUUCAACAGUAACAUGGACUGGUAACAUUAAAAAUUUGCAUGGUUUGUUUACAUUUAACAAUUGUAUUAUUUUACAAUAGAUUUUGCAAUUUUGACUAACAUUGUUGUUUGAUUUAGUUCUUUUCAGGUACCCCCGCAGGAAGGACGGGAGCGCCGAGUCGUUGGAAUCCUCAGGAGUCAUCACGGGUAAGCGCAUGUAGUGUGUUCGCUGUGAUUUGUUGUGGCCGCUGGAAGAGCGCCGCUUGCAACAUGCUUGUCCCGGCCGGUGUUGCAAGCAAUUGCAUGAGUUUUGAAGAAGCUAGAUCCCGCGCAGCCGUCAUUGAAAUGUCUUGGAGCUGCUGGCAACAUGGUGGUGGAAUCGAAGGUUGCACGGAGCGCCGCGUCUUGUGGCCACUGCGUCGGGAUUGGCAGCUAGGAGCCUCUAGAUCAGGAAUUGUUGCCGAGGACCGCCGCAACGAGAGAGGUCAUGGUAUUUCAGGAUGUUCCGGGUCCGGAAUUGUUGCCGAGGACCGUCGCAACGAUUGGGGCCAUGGAAAUGGAUGUAAAGUUAAAUUUUAGGUGCCUAGGCUGGACGAUAUUUGGAGAUAUGUUUUUCAGGUAGGCUAUUCUGAAGGUACAUUUGUAGCAGCUAAUAUUAAGGCCGUCGUAGCUGGGAUGCCGUGGUUUUGGGUUCUUCAAGUUUGCGAUUAAUCUUGAGAUACAUUUGUAGCAGCUAAUAUUAAGGCCGUCGUAGCUGGGAUGCCGUGGUUUUGAGUUCUUCAAGUUGACAAUUAGAUAAGUAUUAAGUUUACACAUAUAUUUCCCUGGAAGGAAGUUUGUAAGAGCAGCAAAGUAUCCUGAUCGACGCGGAGGCAGCUUAGAUGGCCCGUAUUUUGCGGUGCAGCGAUGUGUGAAGAUUGCAGCGGUGUUGAAGGAUUAUUCAAAGGACUGUGCGGCAAGAAAAUUCAGGAUUUGAUUUUAUUCGCAUCGCAUCGUCAGGGUCAGCUGGAGUGCAUUGUCGUUGGCUUUUUAAUCCGGAUGCGUUGAGGAUUUUACGUUUAGCAUGAAGGAGGGAUGCUAACUAUGGAGAAGAAGAUAUGUAUCACUGUUGUCAAGAGAGAAGCAGGUCGACGUGCGUCUUUCCGUCUGUCACAGUUUGUAGUUUGUAUAUUAAUUAAUUAGGAAUUAAUUAAUAUACAUGUAUUUUUGGUUUUAA